rnacentral:tRNA from 1 species
UCCUGGGUGACUCAGUGGUAAAGAAUUUGCCUGCAAUGCAGGAGAUACAGGUUCAAACCCUGGGUCAGGAA